GACGAACGCUGGCGGCGUGCUUAACACAUGCAAGUCGAACGGAAAGGCCCUGCUUUUGUGGGGUUCUCGAGUGGCGAACGGGUGAGUAACACGUGAGUAACCUGCCCUUGACUUUGGGAUAACUUCAGGAAACUGGGGCUAAUACCGGAUAGGAGCUCCUGCUGCAUGGUGGGGGUUGGAAAGUUUCGGCGGUUGGGGAUGUACUCGCGGCUUAUCAGCUUGUUGGUGGGGUAGUGGCUUACCAAGGCUUUGACGGGUAGCCGGCCUGAGAGGGUGACCGGCCACAAUGGGACUGAGAUACGGACCAGACUCCUACGGGAGGCAGCAGUGGGGAAUAUUGCACAAUGGGCGGAAGCCUGAUGCAGCAACGCCGCGUGCGGGAUGACGGCCUUCGGGUUGUAAACCGCUUUCGCCUGUGACGAAGCGUGAGUGACGGUAAUGGGUAAAGAAGCACCGGCUAACUACGUG
rnacentral:rRNA from 1 species